UUUUUUCUUCUUCUUCUUCUUGUUCUG
rnacentral:sRNA from 1 species